rnacentral:tRNA from 1 species
UGCCUGGUGGUGAAAUGGUAUCACGCCUGACUCUGAAUCAGGCAUUCUAGGUUCGAAUCCUAGCCGGGCAG